AGCAGCCGCGGUAAUUCCAGCUCCAAUAGCGUAUAUUAAAGUUGCUGCAGUUAAAAGCUCGUAGUUGAAUUUCGGGACCAUCUUGUUGGUCGUGCCUCGGUACGUACUGGCAUUGUUGGUUUCUCCCUUCUGACGAACCAUGAUGUCAUUUAUUUGGUGUCGUGGGAAAUCAGGACUGUUACUUUGAAAAAUUAGAGUGUUUAAAGCAGGCUCACGCUUGAAUACAUUAGCAUGGAAUAAUGAAAUAGGACGUUUGAUUCUAUUUUGUUGGUUUCUAGGAUCGACGUAAUGAUUAAUAGGGAUAGUUGGGGGCAUUAGUAUUCAAUUGUCAGAGGUGAAAUUCUUGGAUUUAUUGAAGACUAACUACUGCGAAAGCAUUUGCCAAGGAUGUUUUCAUUAAUCAAGAACGAAAGUUAGGGAUCGAAGACGAUCAGAUACCGUCGUAGUCUUAACCAUAAA
rnacentral:misc_RNA from 1 species